rnacentral:rRNA from 1 species
UACGAAGGGGGCUAGCGUUGCUCGGAAUCACUGGGCGUAAAGCGCACGUAGGCGGAUUGUUAAGUCAGGGGUGAAAUCCUGGAGCUCAACUCCAGAACUGCCUUUGAUACUGGCGAUCUUGAGUCCGGGAGAGGUGAGUGGAACUGCGAGUGUAGAGGUGAAAUUCGUAGAUAUUCGCAAGAACACCUGUGGCGAAAGCGGCGCACUGGACCACAACUGACGCUGAGGCGCGAAAGCUAGGGGAGCAAACAGG